UCCGUCGUGGUGUAGUGGCUAGCAUUUGAGACUCUCAUUUCAGGUGAAUGAGGACUCUCAGAACCCGGGUUCAAUUCCCGGCGACGGAA